rnacentral:lncRNA from 1 species
CUAACCCGGGCUGCGUCCUCCUGUCUUGCAGGAUCACAACUGCCCCAAGGAAAAGCCCGUACUGCAGGUUGAGGCUGCGAGCUUGUGCUGAGAUCUGUGCUUUCACUUUCGGUUUGAGACUCUCCUCGGGAACCUAAUUUCUCUCCCCGUCUGCGCUGAUCUCCCCCCUGGCCCCAGAACCAACCUUUUUUGGCGAGACUGCAGAUUUUCUUCGGCCUCUCUUGGAAUGGGACACAGUUGAAAUGAAAGCAUGUGAGAAAAAAGAAAAAAAAGGAUAAUGAAAAAGAAAUGCAUGAGGAAGGAGAAUUAAAGAGAGAAUGAAGAAGUAAAGAAAAGAAAGAAGGAGCAAAGAAGAGAAGGAAGGAUGAGACAUGAUGAGGAAAGGAAGAAUAGCACCAGGAAAAAAGGGCAUGAAGGAAGGAAGGAAAGGAGUGACAGAGAAAAGAUGAUUACAUGACAUAACUAUGAAGAAAAUGUAUGUAUUAGGGACUGGUUUUGUAAUGAUACUAUUCUUAUGAAAUUGUUCAUUUCUAUGCCCUGUGAAAAUGGAAUGUUUAAUGACUUUACUAAUAACCUUAAUUUGCUCAAGCUCCUUUAUAAUGCAGACAAAGAAAGUCAAGGGAUCAGAUAAAACUGAACAUUCUUUGCUGAGUGUAUUGGACGUUCCUUGUGUUACUGACAUACCGAACCCAGAACUUCCCUUGUUAUGUGAGAUAACCUAUUCAGACUGGUUGAUCUCAACUUCCAGUUCUGAAAAACAAUCCAGCCCAAAGAAGACUUGAUAAAAGCAUUAUGCGAUUACACGCCCACACAUACACACUCCAAUUUUUGUCUUUAUAACCCCUGCUCCUUCUUGUCACCUUAAGCUUGGUUUGAAUUGUGCUCCUAUCUAUACAAGUCCUUCUACUUAGGAGGAAUAAAAAUCUACAG